GUAAAAAAGAAUUUGUUCUUAACUGACUUCCCAGUUAAAAAAAUAAAAUAAUAUAUACUGUAUAUACAUACUACGGUCUGCUAUACCAUGGCUGUCAGCCAAUCAGUAUUCACGGCUCCAAUCUCCCAGUUUAUAAUAAGGAAAGAUUCUGGAAAAUAUGCUGUCUGUUUCUAUGACUGUGUCAUGACUCUCCUGUGACGAUCUGAAGGAUCAGGUUAGAGUGGGUCUGCUCUACAGCCUGUUCUCUCUCGUAGAGGGGGAAUGUCAUGACUCUCCUGUGACGAUCUGAAGGAUCAGGUUAGAGUGGGUCUGCUCUACAGCCUGUUCUCUCUCGUAGAGGGGGAAUGUCAUGACUCUCCUGUGACGAUCUGAAGGAUCAGGUUAGAGUAGGUCUGCUCUACAGCCUGUUCUCUCUCGUAGAUAGGGAAUGUCAUGACUCUCCUGUGACGAUCUGAAGGAUCAGGUUAGAGUGGGUCUGCUCUACAGCCUGUUCUCUCUCGUAGAGGGGGAAUGUCAUGACUCUCCUGUGACGAUCUGAAGGAUCAGGUUAGAGUGGGUCUGCUCUACAGCCUGUUCUCUCUCGUAGAGGGGGAAUGUCAUGACUCUCCUGUGACGAUCUGAAGGAUCAGGUUAGAGUAGGUCUGCUCUACAGCCUGUUCUCUCUCGUAGAUAGGGAAUGUCAUGACUCUCCUGUGACGAUCUGAAGGAUCAGGUUAGAGUGGGUCUGCUCUACAGCCUGUUCUCUCUCGUAGAGGGGGAAUGUCAUGACUCUCCUGUGACGAUCUGAAGGAUCAGGUUAGAGUGGGUCUGCUCUACAGCCUGUUCUCUCUCGUAGAGGGGGAAUGUCAUGACUCUCCUGUGACGAUCUGAAGGAUCAUGUUAGAGUAGGUCUGCUCUACAGCCUGUUCUCUCUCGUAGAUAGGGAAUGUCAUGACUCUCCUGUGACGAUCUGAAGGAUCAGGUUAGAGUGGGUCUGCUCUACAGCCUGCUCUCUCUCGUAGAUGGGGAAUGUCAUGACUCUCCUGUGACGAUCUGAAGGAUCAGGUUAGAGUAGGUCUGCUCUACAGCCUGCUCUCUCUCGUAGAGGGGGAAUGUCAUGACUCUCCUGUGACGAUCUGAAGGAUCAGGUUAGAGUGGGUCUGCUCUACAGCCUGUUCUCUCUCUCGUAGAGGGGGAGAGCGGGAAGUCGGCUGUUUUAUGGUCGGUCAUAAAAUACACUGCCCCUAUGCUCUGUAGUGUUUGAGAUUGGAAUGUAAACUGUGGAAUACAGAGAGACACUUGGACAUCAAAAGUUUAAUUAAUUAAACAAUAUUUCUACUUUUGAGAAUGUGGCAAUGGUCCGUGGACACUAAGAGACAGUCAUGACGAGCGUGUUUCAUUUGGUGAUCUCAUGAAGGACAGGAAACACACAUUACUGUAUCUCUGUUUGUGGACACUUUCAAGGUUUACAUCUACAUUUUGUGAAACGUAUGUGAUUAAACAUGAAACUAUUUGUGAAAAGAUGUAAUGCGAUGUUAACCUUCAAAAUGAGAGAAUUGUCUUCCAUGUAAAGUAUUAACCAGGUCAGUGGCCACGCCCACGUGAUCAUAGACAUUACGUCAGCGUCAUGGACCGCCCUUUUCUCAGAAGUGUAUAAAACCCACUCCUGGCGAAAUUUACAUUAGACCAGACAGCGUGCAGCAAUGGCUACACAGCUGGAAAUGGUUCAAAUCUGAGACUAUAUAUGACUACAGAAUAAGAGCAAAUACUAGCUGUUCAUGUGUAAACGAUUAGCAUUUCAAUGAAUAUAAUUAUCAACUGUGCGUAGUGAAUCCAUUUUGUCUUUCCCGCUCUUUUAUCUGUCCCCACCCCUUUCCAUUGUCUACCAAGCCGUCAUACCGGUUUAGUCCACGUAGGGACUUAUCAAUGCAUUGCGUUAGUAACCAAUAUCUACUGUUUGUUUGUUAUGUAUUUCUGUGAUUAUUUAGUUAGUUAGUAAAUAAAUAAUUAAGCCAAUUUGUAUAUCGCUGAUUCAUCAUUUAGGCUAGGGUUCGUGCAGAUAUCCAAGGGUUUGCGACUUUCAAUAAUGUAAACUGAUGAGGUAAUAAUGAUGCAUUAAUACAAGACUGUACUCGAUUUGGAAAAUAGAGACUAUAAAAAUUUCCCGUGGUGCCCUGACUUCCUAGUUAAUUAAAGUUUGCAUGAUUAGUUUAAUCACAUAAUUACACAUAUAGAAUUUAUUUGAUAAAAAAAAGCAGUCUUCACAUGUAAUGAUAGUCACAGACACGACAACUUUUUUAUGGCUCAGCUAAUGUUAAAACGUACCCUAACCCUCCUUUGAGCUUCAGUCACCAGCAACAUCUCCCACCUAAACUAAUGUUCUCUGUUUUCUGUUCAUUAGUGUCCACUGUUCACCAAUGUUAUUAAAGAAUGGUUCCCUCCUUC